GUACAUGUAUAUGUAUUUUUUUCAGAUCAUGUCCAGGCAAGCAAAGCGCAAACAUGAGGAUAUUUCGCCUGGUGAUUAUACAAUUUGUAUUGAAUCUGCGGACAAACUUGCUGGAGCAUGUAGAGCCACGAUUGGUUUUCAACUUCUUGGAAACGGCAUAGAAGGUGACGAGGAUGAAUUUGCGUACAUGAAUUUCCUAAACAUUUUAUCAGAGGGCAUAAAAACUCUUUCAAAAUAGUUGAACCAAAGAUUAAAGACGUCGACGGUAUUAAGCUCCGUGGAGAAACUAUGGUAGGAGAAGAUGGCUGGAAAAUAGACAGAAUUACCGUUACUAACGAGAAAAACGGGGGAUAAGAAGAUCGUUCCAGUUUUUACGUCCAUUGCUAGGAACAAUGUUUACCUAUUCAAGGCUAACGAUGUGUGUUUGCCACACAAGUCACCUGGCAAUGAAAAAAAAAGGCAGCAAGAACUUGACAAAGUAAGGAAAAUUUAUGAGCUCUCCGACGACAAAUUACCUGGGGCACCUCCGCUUAUAAAAGAGAUACCUUCAUGUGAAAAAUUUCGUUGUCGAGAUAAAUUGUUAAUUGCUGUAAAAAUGG